AAAUCAGUACCUAGCUUACUGACACCCAAGCCUUUUCUUGUCAAGGGGCUAGAGCAUCCUGGAGCACAGAACCUGCUGUGCACUGCUGUGAUGUAAAGGUAAUAUUGUUAAUUGAGAGGGGUUUUUAAAAGUUUUUGUGAACCGUGGGUUAUAUUUGAUAGCAAGUAUAGUGUAAAUGGUAGGCAUUAGGUAACUUUUUGAACAGUUCUCAGUGUGGUACUAAUGCAUUCAUAGGCUGUUGGGUUUUUUCUCCGUGGUACACCUGGUAUGGAUGUCCAUCGCUGUGAUGAUCUACAAUCACUAGAAAGCAACCACCAUUUCAUCAGUGUAUAUUUGUGAGUAAAUGGUAUGAACUGAGUGAAUUUAGGAAGGAAUGGACGUCAGUUCUGGGCAACUACAAAAUAUUGCUGGGUAAACUGGGAUUUUUGAUAACAAAAUGCUGAAGGGGCACAUUUUGUUCCUGUAUCCUCUCUCUUUUUUUUUUUUUUUUGGCUCUAACUUUUUAUUGUUAUGGGGAAAUACAAGACUAAAACUUUAGUGUAUACAAAACAGCUACAUCAAGAGUAAUAAUAUAUAGCAAAGAAGACAACUCAUGGAAUUUAUAAUCAGAUGAAAGCAAGAAGCAAAACUUGACCUUUGAGGAAUGACAGCUGUAAAAAGACAAUAAAUAGGACACCUUAGUUUACUUUUGUUUCUUCUGUGCAUGGGUUUAAGAAAGAGAAGGUUAUAGUGCAGAUUUUGCCGCUGUGAAACCAAAACACGGGAACGAUGCAAUUUACCGUAUCUGGCUGAAAUGUGAGGCUGAUGUAAUUCUCUCUCUGGAACCUACUGCUAACCACCUGUGCACUGAACGGGGGGGAAAGCUACAUUAAAAGUGAAUAUUUUCUCUUCCCACUUGCUGUUGAGAUGAGCAGCAUGCACAACUCUCUCUCAUGGGGAAAAGGGGAGAAGAAUCCCUCUCUAAAAAUCCAUCCAUACUUCAUUUCAGAACACACAACUGUUGUUUUCAUCUUCGAAACAGUCCGGUACCAGGACGAGGAGUUGCUUACUGUGCAGGGGAUGCGAAUUCAGGCUGCGCUGGUACUGUGAUGCCCACAGAGGGGAGAAAUCUGGAGCUGUACUCCUGACAGCAAGCAGCGGGCAGAAGGGACAGGACUGUGGCAGCCCUGUACAGAGGUAAGGCAGUGACAGGCUUCCUUCGUGCAGGUUUAUCAAAGGAGCUUUAUCAAAGCAAGUGAGGAAACAAGGCUAGCAAUUGCACUGGGACCAUCUCCAGUUUCUAACCACAUCUCCUCAGCUGGUAUCUCUGAACGAGUUGAUUAGGUGGCUUCCUGCUGGGGUGAGGCAUCAAAUUUUUCAAAUCUGGGGUGAGGCGUCUGUUUUCAAAUCUGGCCCAAGUUUCUCUUAUUUUCUUCAAGUUUCUCUUUGGGAAAACAGGGAUGCAUUUAGUCACAGCCUAUAAAUAAGGUGACUUUUCAUUGUUCUGUGCUUCAGAAAACCACUAGCACAAAAGGGAUGAACGAUUUCAAACUGCUGGUUCUGGAUUUUUAAUUAUUGCAAAAUAAUAUUGUGGGCAAUGUGUGACCACCUGAAGCAGAAACAAAUCUCUCCCUUGCCAAGCAGAAAGACAUU
rnacentral:lncRNA from 1 species